CCUGAAGCCUAACCUUGGUCUUUGGGGACCCCUGAUGUCUGGGCCCGGACGGUGACGUCACUGGCUCGCGUUCACGGUUCGCUCUUUUCUGCUGGGACGCGUCCCAAACCGUUCAGCUGCCGCCUCGAGCUCCGGGAGCGGGCACGGCGGGGUCCGGGACGCGCCGGUGUUCGAACCACACCGACACCAGGCCCCGGGCCGCUGGCACAGGGAGCCGCUGGGGUCCCGCAGGGCAGGGAGUGUCCCGGGGGAGGAAGGCGGUGCUCUGAGUGGGACGCGGCCGGCGGGGCUCCGUCAGCUUACGCGGAGCUCCGUCGCGGCGCAGACAUCUUGGCACCGAACGGUGGAGACGGAGGGUCCGGUCCUAACGCCCCGAUGGAUCGACGGUGAGGCUCGCGGUCCAGGAGGAAUCCUCGCCGGGAGCCAGCGGCCUGUCCGCGGGGCCGGGGAACACCGGCAGCGGUCCGCGCUCUGCCCGAAGGGGCGUGUCCCAUGGCGCCGCUGUGCUGCUGCUGCGGCUCUGUGGUUUUUUUAGGUUUUGAUUUUUGUAGCGUUGGACGAGAAAAUCAAAACCUAAAGAAAAUACAGCGCUGACAGAACUUCCUGCAGGGGGCGCCAAGCACCAGGCUGCUGGACAUGAGGAGGUCUGCACACUUCCUGUGACCUUCAUCAAGUUUCAGGUUUUGUGGCUCGUUCAGGUGUGACAGUCUUGGAGGCGUCGCUGACCUUCGGCGAUCACGCCACAGCUGGAUGUUUGAGGCUGAUGUGUGCACUUCCUGUUUGUGAUCGCUGUCAGAGCGUUUCCAUCUUCCUCAGUAAAGCAGAGUGAAAAUAAA